rnacentral:rRNA from 1 species
UGCAGUCGAACGGCAGCACAGGAGAGCUUGCUCUCUGGGUGGCGAGUGGCGGACGGGUGAGGAAUACAUCGGAAUCUACUCUGUCGUGGGGGAUAACGUAGGGAAACUUACGCUAAUACCGCAUACGACCUACGGGUGAAAGCAGGGGACCUUCGGGCCUUGCGCGAUUGAAUGAGCCGAUGUCGGAUUAGCUAGUUGGCGGGGUAAAGGCCCACCAAGGCGACGAUCCGUAGCUGGUCUGAGAGGAUGAUCAGCCACACUGGAACUGAGACACGGUCCAGACUCCUACGGGAGGCAGCAGUGGGGAAUAUUGGACAAUGGGCGCAAGCCUGAUCCAGCCAUACCGCGUGGGUGAAGAAGGCCUUCGGGUUGUAAAGCCCUUUUGUUGGGAAAGAAAUCCAGCUGGCUAAUACCCGGUUGGGAUGACGGUACCCAAAGAAUAAGCACCGGCUAACUUCGUGCCAGCAGCCGCGGUAAUACGAAGGGUGCAAGCGUUACUCGGAAUUACUGGGCGUAAAGCGUGCGUAGGUGGUCGUUUAAGUCCGUUGUGAAAGCCCUGGGCUCAACCUGGGAACUGCAGUGGAUACUGGGCGACUAGAAUGUGGUAGAGGGUAGCGGAAUUCCUGGUGUAGCAGUGAAAUGCGUAGAGAUCAGGAGGAACAUCCAUGGCGAAGGCAGCUA